AGAGUUUGAUCCUGGCUCAGAACGAACGCUGGCGGCGUGCCUAACACAUGCAAGUCGAACGGAGUUGAGGGGCUUGCUCCUCAAUUUAGUGGCGCACGGGUGAGUAACGCGUAGAUAAUCUGCCUGAUGAUUUGGGAUAACACUUCGAAAGGGGUGCUAAUACCGAAUAAGCCCACGGAGUCCUUGGACUCUGCGGGAAAAGGGGGGGACCUUUAGGGCCUUCCGUCAUCAGAUGAGUCUGCGUACCAUUAGCUAGUUGGUAGGGUAAAGGCCUACCAAGGCGACGAUGGUUAGCUGGUCUGAGAGGAUGAUCAGCCACACUGGAACUGAGACACGGUCCAGACUCCUACGGGAGGCAGCAGUGGGGAAUUUUGCGCAAUGGGGGAAACCCUGACGCAGCAACGCCGCGUGAGUGAUGAAGGCCCUUGGGUCGUAAAGCUCUGACAGAGGGAAAGAAAUGUGGGUGGCUAAUAUCCAUACCACUUGACGGUACCCUCAAAGGAAGCACCGGCUAACUCCGUGCCAGCAGCCGCGGUAAUACGGAGGGUGCGAGCGUUGUUCGGAUUUAUUGGGCGUAAAGCGCGUGUAGGCGGUUUUAUAAGUCUGAUGUGAAAGCCCCGGGCUCAACCUGGGAAGUGCAUUGGAUACUGUAAGACUUGAAUACGGGAGAGGGCAGUGGAAUUCCUAGUGUAGGAGUGAAAUCCGUAGAUAUUAGGAGGAACACCGGUGGCGAAGGCGGCUGCCUGGACCGAUAUUGACGCUGAGACGCGAAAGCGUGGGUAGCAAACAGGAUUAGAUACCCUGGUAGUCC
rnacentral:rRNA from 1 species